ACAGGAGUGUCGUUCUCAGAUUCAAUGAUUAUCAAACAACAUGUACUAAUUAUAUUUUAGCAAGCUGGCAGUUGAUGUGAUUCUCUAUGUUUACAUUUUGUCAAAUUAACGACAAGAGGGUUAAGUUUUAGAAGCAACUACCCUGCACUGGUUAAUAAUAUCUGUGAGGACCCAAGUUGGUCCCAGUCCUCUUCGAUUGGUGCUCUAUCCAUGUGAUUUGAGGAAAGUUUCAGUACAACACAUUGUAUUUUGAUUAGUGAAUGAAGCAUUUAGACGAUAUUGUUGCAGGUGUGCAUUCUCUUUCUUACAUUUGGUUUAAGCUUUCUUAUUUGAGCUUUAUGAUACUAUGUACUCAAUACUUGUGCUCUUCUAAGAUAGGUUGAGCAGACAGUGGUUGAAAGGUCUGAAGGUUGGCAUUGUGGAUAUUUUUGCUAUCUUGCAUGGAUUCCCAGACAAUGUGAGGACGAACCAGAAGGGCGAGUUCUGGGUGGCGAUCCACUAUCGGAGAA
rnacentral:lncRNA from 1 species